CAAAAUCAUUUUAUAUUGACAAUGAUGUGUCUGGUGAAGUUAGAUCCACAUGGUCCGAUACUCAGGCACAUUACUUUCAAGGUAUCAUGCGAAUGUUGUGGAGUUUAAGAAGUGCUAUGAGGAUAAUUUGUGGCUUCUUAUCUGAGGAUGUGACUGCAAGGACCCUUGUUAUCCUUGAUUUAUAUGAAUUCUAUGUACAUUUUGCAUCUGCUUGGCUUCAGCGAAAUUUGAAAGGUCUUUUGUUGAUGGUGCAACCGCU
rnacentral:misc_RNA from 1 species